rnacentral:rRNA from 1 species
AUUGAACGCUGGCGGCAGGCCUAACACAUGCAAGUCGAACGAGUGGCGGACGGGUGAGUAAUGUCUGGGAAACUGCCUGAUGGAGGGGGAUAACUACUGGAAACGGUAGCUAAUACCGCAUACCAUCAGAUGUGCCUAGGUGGGAUUAGCUAGUUGGUGGGGUAAAGGCACACCAAGGCGACGAUCCGUAACUGGUCUGAGAGGAUGAUCAGCCACAGUGUAACUGAGACACGGUCCAGACUCCUACGGGAGGCAGCAGUGGGGAAUAUUGCACAAUGGGCGCAAGCCUGAUGCAGCCAUGCCGCGUGUAGGAAGAAGGUCUUCGGAUUGUAAAGCACUUUCAGCGGGGAGGCGUUACCCGCAGAAUAAGCACCGGCUAACUUCGUGCCAGCCGCCGCGGUAAUGC